rnacentral:rRNA from 1 species
UUUGAGAGGCAUCUCUUGAAUAUCAAAGGUGAGCCAGUACAGGAUGGACCCGCGUCUGAUUAGCUAGUUGGUAAGGUAACGGCUUACCAAGGCGACGAUCAGUAGCCGACCUGAGAGGGUGAUCGGCCACAUUGGAACUGAGACACGGUCCAAACUCCUACGGGAGGCAGCAGUGGGGAAUAUUGCACAAUGGGCGAAAGCCUGAUGCAGCAACGCCGCGUGAGUGAUGAAGGCCUUCGGGUCGUAAAACUCUGUCCUCAAGGAAGAUAAUGACGGUACUUGAGGAGGAAGCCCCGGCUAACUACGUGCCAGCAGCCGCGGUAAUACGUAGGGGGCUAGCGUUAUCCGGAUUUACUGGGCGUAAAGGGUGCGUAGGCGGUCUUUCAAGUCAGGAGUGAAAGGCUACGGCUCAACCGUAGUAAGCUCUUGAAACUGGGAGACUUGAGUGCAGGAGAGGAGAGUGGAAUUCCUAGUGUAGCGGUGAAAUGCGUAGAUAUUAGGAGGAACACCAGUUGCGAAGGCGGCUCUCUGGACUGUAACUGACGCUGAGGCACGAAAGCGUGGGGAGCAAACAGGAUUAGAUACCCUGGUAGUCCACGCUGUAAACGAUGAGUAC